AUUGAACGCUGGCGGCAGGCCUAACACAUGCAAGUCGAGCGGCAGCGGGAAAGUAGCUUGCUACUUUUGCCGGCGAGCGGCGGACGGGUGAGUAAUGCCUGGGAAAUUGCCCAGUCGAGGGGGAUAACAGUUGGAAACGACUGCUAAUACCGCAUACGCCCUACGGGGGAAAGCAGGGGACCUUCGGGCCUUGCGCGAUUGGAUAUGCCCAGGUGGGAUUAGCUUGUUGGUGAGGUAAUGGCUCACCAAGGCGACGAUCCCUAGCUGGUCUGAGAGGAUGAUCAGCCACACUGGAACUGAGACACGGUCCAGACUCCUACGGGAGGCAGCAGUGGGGAAUAUUGCACAAUGGGGGAAACCCUGAUGCAGCCAUGCCGCGUGUGUGAAGAAGGCCUUCGGGUUGUAAAGCAC
rnacentral:rRNA from 1 species